rnacentral:lncRNA from 1 species
CGGGUAGGAGUGAAUCGUUGAAAGACAAGAUAAACACAUUCAUUUCAGUGUUGGGUGGGAACAGUUUUGGAAGAACUAAUAAUGUCUGCGAGCAUGAGUGAAAGUUUGAACGUGGUGGGGUUGAGUUCGUUUGUGUGAGGCCAUGAUCAGCUUCAGGCUAAAGCUGUUUAGAAAUGAGCCUGGGAGAUGCAUGAGAUACCUCCCUCCCUGCCCACCAAAAGUUGAUAGGGUACAAACUGCAUGAAUCUUUGCUUUUGCCCCAACCCCAAACCUACCAAUGUCAUUCCAAAUGGAGCGCCCAACCGCUCUCGCAUUCCAACGGGAUGCAAUUUUAUUACCUAUCAUGCAGUAUAUGACUUGUGGAAUCCCACAACUUCCGAUAAUCUGCUGCUGCUCAUCUCAGGUAUGCCAUGGCUCUCGUUUGGAAGUCUAUCCUCAUUGCUAUUGUCAGUUUGUUGGUUCCGUACAGAGGCCCGUCAUUUGUUGGUGCCAAGGUUUAUAUGGUAGUGAUGGAGGAUGACCCUGUCAUCUCAUACAAAGCGAGUCGAAAUCGUGUGAUGUACGUGAUUCUUUUAUUAUAUUCAUUUUACCUAAUCAUAGUCCCUUUUCAUGUGCCUUCUCUCUCUUGUAUUGAGCUAUAUCUUAUUGCAGGAGUGGCGAUGAAGCACAGAAGUACAAGGAGAAGGUGAUCAGUAGG